AUUGAACGCUGGCGGCAGGCUUAACACAUGCAAGUCGAGCGGGGUGAUGGUGCUUGCACUAUCACUUAGCGGCGGACGGGUGAGUAAUGCUUAGGAAUCUGCUUAUUAGUGGGGGACAACAUCUCGAAAGGGAUGCUAAUACCGCAUACGUCCUACGGGAGAAAGCAGGGGAUCUCUUGUGACCUUGUGCUAAUAGAUGAGCCUAAGUCGGAUUAGCUAGUUGGUGGGGUAAAGGCCUACCAAGGCGACGAUCUGUAGCGGGUCUGAGAGGAUGAGCCGCCACACUGGGACUGGGACACGGCCCAGACUCCUACGGGAGGCAGCAGUGGGGAAUAUUGGACAAUGGGGGGAACCCUGAUCCAGCCAUGCCGCGUGUGUGAAGAAGGCCUUAUGGUUGUAAAGCACUUUAAGCGAGGAGGAGGCUCUUUUGGUUAAUACCCAAGAUGAGUGGACGUUACUCGCAGAAUAAGCACCGGCUAACUCUGUGCCAGCCGCCGCCGUAAGAC
rnacentral:rRNA from 1 species